rnacentral:rRNA from 1 species
AGUGAACGCUGGCGGUAGGCCUAACACAUGCAAGUCGAACGGCAGCACAGUAAGAGCUUGCUCUUACGGGUGGCGAGUGGCGGACGGGUGAGGUAUACAUCGUAAUCUACUUUUUCGUGGGGGUUAACGUAGGGAAACUUACUCUAAUACCGCAUACGCCCUUCGGGUGAAAGCAGGGGAUCUUCUGACCUUGCGCGGUUGAAUGAGCCGAUGUCGGAUUAGCUAGUUGGCGGGGUAAAGGCCCACCAAGGCGGGGAUCGGUAGCUGGUCUGAGAGGAUGAUCGGCCACACUGGAACUGAGACACGGUCCAGAGUCCUACGGGAGGCAGCAGUGGGGAAUAUUGGACAAUGGGCGCAAGCCUGAUCCAGCCAUACCGAGUGGGUGAAGAAGGCCUUCGGGUUGUAAAGCCCUUUUGUUGGGAAAGAAAAGCAGCAGGUUAAUACCCCGCUGUUCUGACGGUACCCAGAGAAUAAGCACCGGCUAACUACGUG